AUUUAAAGCUAUUUUCAUUGGGAUCUCUUUCUUUACAUAUUAUUUCUAAUCAUCAACCCCUUGUUUCUUAAAAUUAUAUGCAUCUUUUAAAACUCUAUCAAACAAAAAGUAUAUUAACCCCAAAAGUAUGGCUUGAGAGAUUUAUUUCAGAAAGUAUGAUCCAUAAAUUAUAGCAUUAUCCUUUUUGUGAAAGUGAGGAAAUUUCGUCUUCAACACUAUGAAAUAUUGUUCAGUGUGUUUUUAAAAACCAAAGUGUGAAUUCUCUAUAUAUAGACACAGGUAUUACUAAAGACUUAGACAAAGGCAUGUUUGUGUCUGCAGUUACUGGAUAAAUGUGAGAGCCAGAGAGCCUUUCUGUGGUUUACGAAAAGACCUUUAUGUCCUGUGGUGGAAGAUCAUAGCUGAACAACAAGUUGAAAACCUAGUUCUUAGAGUCACGGUGCUCUAGUGACCUUUGAAUACUCAGUCAAAGCAGGUCUAUUAUUCAAAAUCUAGGACCCUAGUGUGCAUCCUGAAGCUUGAGACAGGGAAAUCUGGAUGGAUACUCCUGAGGAUAUUGACUAUACAUCCUUCACCUCUGGACCCCCUGAGCUUGCAGAGGUGACUCACCUUUCCCUGAUAAAAGGAGUUGUUGUGCUGGAAAAUACUGCAGGAACUUCUCCCUGACAAGCUGCCAAAUGUUCCCCUCAGAAGCAACCCCACCUCCUUUCCUGUCUGCCAGGUCAACAUCUAGAGUUUAAAUCCCUGCAUAAACUUCCAUGGGACAUUAUGGUCUGAUAAGGAAGAAAAGAUGCUAUACAACAAAGAAUUGCAAGAAUUUGUGGCCUGUACCGAUUAUUUUUGGAAUGUUCGUCAUGAUCAAGGAGGCCUUUCCGGACACCAGAAGCAUGCAGACAUCCUUGCUUGAAUACCACCUUUAGAUGCUCCACUCAAGUCUCCUUCAAGCCACCAUAGCCUCUAACUUAGAGCAACACAGAAGCUUCCUAACUACUUCUGCCCUUUCCAUACUGACAGUUCAUUAGCAGAGGAACCAAAGAUGUUCAAGCAUAAGUCAAGUAAAACUAGCUUGAAACAUAGUAGGUAGGUACUCAAUAAAUAUUUAUUGAAUGAAUGAAAUGGACA
rnacentral:lncRNA from 1 species